rnacentral:miRNA from 1 species
AAGUUUGUUGUAACAAGUUUGAAACAAGCUGUUAACAACUUGCAACAAACUUGAUGGCAUUAUCAGCCUUGUUACAAGACUGUGCUGACAAGUUUGUUACAGCCGUGAUAUAACAAAGAUGUUACAAGGUUCAAAACAAGGUUGCAACAAUCUUGUUAUAUCAAGCAUGUAACAGACUUGUCAGAACAACCUUGCAACAAGUCUGAUAAUUUCGACAAGGUUGUUGCAAGUUGUCAACAAGUUGUUCCAAACCUGUUGACAACUU